rnacentral:lncRNA from 1 species
UCAUGGAUACUAUAAAAGCUUGUCUUCACCUGUAUUGCUUAUCAAAACAUACCUAUCAUAUACAAUUCAUUGUACUACAACAUUUCUUCCAAUACUUUGCACUUACUGUUUUUCCAACUUUGAAGCAGUGUGUACUUACUUAGGAGUCAGGAGUACCCUGAGUAGGUAAAUUACAUCCCUAUGGUCUGGAACACAGUAAAAGCAAAAAGGCUUUUGAUUCAGUGAUUUGUGCUUUCUUCCUUCUGCACCUUCCUGCAGACACUGUUGGCAGAGAAGCUGAAUUGGCACCCUGGGCUUGGGCAACUGCUGCUAAAAGACGGUGUCCUGGGAGCAGAACUUUCCUGUAACUGAGUGAUUCCUCCCGUUGGUUUCAGACCAGUGUAAUUGAUUCUUGUUCUUCUUUUCUUUGUUUUGUCAUUUAAUUCUUUAAUUAAACUCUCUUGUUAUUGGGAUUAAAAUCAUUGUAACCUGCCCCAGUUUUUCUUAUCUUGCUCUUUGAAGAUAUGAGAGUUCUGAACUUUCUAAUCUCAGGGCUGAAUGAAUACAAUUCAACCUCAUGUCUUAGAAUAGGGAUUCUCAUUCAAAGAGGCUGGCUUCUUGGGGGGGUGUGUUACCACAACCUUGAGGUAGAAAGUAAGAGGGAAGAGGGGCUGCCAGUUGAUGAAAAAAGCAUAUUCAGUAUUCUAAGCUAAUUAAAUCAAAACAAAUGAAUUUGUUCUGCUAACCAAGACAUAGAGAGUUAACCCUAUAAAAUCUCCUUUAUGGGCAUACAAGUUAGCAACUCCCAACAAGAUGAGUAUCUCUCUCUCCAGGUCAGAGUUGCCGAAUAUCUGUAAAGUGAUGGGCUACCUUCAAGAGAAAUGUACAGGGUUGUUCUCAAAAGCAUCAUUUGUAAUAGCAAACUUGGAAAGAAUUGGAAAAAAACUAAAGAUCCAUCAAAGGCAGAGUAGCUGAAUAAGGUCAUAUCAUGGAGUGGGGUAUUAUUGGGUCAUUGAUGUGGAUGAACAGAUGUGCUGAUAUUGGCAGAUCUCCAACACACAUUUCAAGUUAAAACCACAACAGCAUGUAGGACACAAUGAAUAGUAUGAUCCCUUUAGUAUAAAAAUGGUCCCAAACCCUAUAAAAGCUGUAAACAUCCCUCUCCCUGUCAUUUACCAGCCUCUCUCUCAUUCUGUUUCUCUCUCCUGUGCUAUGACUUUUUUCUUCUCCUGGAAAGACACAUAAGAAUUAUGUUAGAAGGGUUAGUUUUGGGAAGAGAGACUAUGGGGACGGAAACGUAAAAAUUUCACUUUGUACUUUUUGUUUACAUUUUAAAAUCAUCUAACCAGCCGUCUCAUCAUUUAUUCUACAAAUACUUGUUGAAUGGCUACCACGUUUCAGGCGGUGCCCCUACUCUCUAAAAGAAUGGCGUGACCCUGACUUGAAGAAAGCUAAGCCUAGUGAGGAAAUAGACGGUAAUAAGGAAAUGUAGAAAAGAUAAUUCAAGACAGUUCUCAGAGUUAAGAAGAAUCAAAAAGGUCUUUAGUUAAAGAGUAACAGCAGAAGACUACUUUAGAUAGCAUAGCACUCAGCGCUUAAAUGCUCCAUAAAGCAAAGAAAACAAAACAAAAUAAAGUACUCCCAAAUGGAAUGCCUCACAACAAGCUCAGCUUUGCAAGUCAUUUGUGACUCAGCUGAUCUAAGCUGGGAUUUUCUGGGAAGCGCUGGGUUUGCGAGCUGAAGGCUGAGCUUAAUACUGCUCUGUAUUAGUCUGGUCUAGGGCCCAGGCUGGAAGUUCCAGCAGCCACUUGGAGAGGCUCUUUUCCUGAUAAAUCACCAGAGUGCAAAAGGGCCAAGUGAAACUGCACAAGCCAUUGCAGGCCUUUGCUUUUAUCAUGUCUACUGAUAUCUCAUUGGCCAAAUCAAAUCCUAUGGCCAAGUCCAGUGACAAUGGAGUGGAAAGUUACCCUCCACUCAUGGGGAUGGUGCUUGGAAGUAAAUAUUAUGCUGCAAAAUAUUUGACACUAUUGAUCAAGGCCUAUCUGAUCACUGAGUAGAAACUGCACAACUGUGAGCCAGAUUUGCUAAGACCACGGUAAGGUCUAGGGGUGAGAGUGAGGGACUUGAGCCAUUUCAAGCAGAGAAAAUAAUAAAUUCAAAAUUAUUAUCUAAAUUGUCAGUUGGUUGGUAGGAUUGUAAGUCAUUUUUUAUUUAAACGUUUCUGUAAAAAUUAACCUUAGUAAAUGGUCUUUCACAAAGGAGUAGCAUGCCAGAUCUGAGCUGCGUCUGUGACCUACAGCACAGCUCACGGCAGCACUGGAUCCUUAACUCACUGAGCGGAUCCAGGAAUUGAACCUAUAUCCUCAUGGAUACCAAUUGGGUUAGUUACUGCUAGACACAAUGGAACUCCUAGACUUUCUGGUUUUUCAAAAUGAUAUUCAGUCCGAUGAUAAAGUUCUCUAAGAGUUAUCAGAAAUGUCAUUGGACUGCUUACAUUUUUAUCCAGGGUAGUACUUAGCUAAACCACGGAGCAGGUUUUAGGGGCAGUGGUAAUCAGAAAUAAAUUUGCUUUUAUGAUUAUACCCUUUGAAUCUUGUCCAGCCUAUCAGUUACACUAACAUUUAUUAAAUUAAAGAUAGCCAUCAAAGCAUUGUGUUAAGGGUUUUCUAGCUGUUACCUCAUUCCCAAGAACACAGUAAGGUAAUUACUAUUAUCCUCAUUUUCUGGAUGAACACAUCGAAGGCAAGGGAGGUCAAGUGAUUGCCCAAGGUCACAGAAUAAUAAAUGUCAAAGCUGGGAUUCAAGUUUAAUCCAGUCCAUCUGACUGUGAGUCUGUGCUCCUAGUGGGUCUGAUUUCUUUCCUGGUGAAAAGCCCUUGUAGUAUGUGUGGGGUGUGACUGCACUCUCCACAGCUCCGUAUCCAUCCCCCAGGCCAAGCAGGCCCAGAUUCUAAAGCUACAUUUGCAGGGCAUGAGUUCAGUCUUUCUCCAUCCCAGUCAUUCUCCUUACCUUCCCCCCAUUUAUCACGUGUGGCCCUUGUGUAUGUGUGGAUACUAAAAAUUACAUUCGAUCACAUGUGUGCAUGUGACUUAGCGGGGGUGUCCUUGCCUAACCAUCGCGGGGCCCUGGGAGUAGGGAAGGGCCUCUUGGAUGCACUUUCUGCAGGAUCCCAUCUCUUCCUGUGCUUUUCCCCAGACUGGCCAUGGAGGAUCCUCCCUGUAGGCGCCUGUGCAAGGCGUAUCAAUUACCUCUUUAUGUGGACCUCCAGUUCCUUGAAUUUGAUGAGCUGCAGGGAGAAUUGGAUAGUGGCAGACGUUAAACAGCAAUGACAACAACAGCUCAGUUUCCCCCAAAAACUCUCUAGUAAUACUGGAAAUAGUUUUGUCCUUUGGUUUCCCAAACAUUCACUUAUUUAUACACUUGUCCAUGCACUCAUUCACACAAAGAAAGCUUUACCGAGAGUCCCUGCUGCAUUAGGUCCUGCGAUGCAAGAAAGGAGAAGAGGAGUCCCCUGUCCUUGGGGAGCUCAGCUUCUAGACUGGGAAGUGGGUAUGUAAAUCAGUUGUCAUGCUCUGGUAAAAAAGUACUAAAUUGAGGUGUGAACCAGAUGCCAUGAGAACACCCAGGAAUAGGUAACUCAAAGUGUGCAGGAUGUCAAACUGUGUUAGUCAUGGCGUUGGGCCUAAAUUAGAAAACCAAAAAAACCCCCAGAAGCCAAAAAAAAAACCACACCCCCAAACUAUGAGAACCCUCCGUUUUGAAUUAUUCCUUUAUUUGACAGAAAUUUUUUUAUCUCCUGAAGGGCAAGGGGGGAUGAAUGCAGUGUCUUUGGUGCAGAAAGACCUGUUUGAUCUUGAAGCAAAUCACCCCAAGGAUUCCCCAUGAUUUUCAUAUUGUCCUUUUAUAAAGAGAGAUUUGGGUUACUGAGCCAGCGGGUCUGUCCCUGUGCCCGUCUGUCUCAGUCCCGCUGAUCCUUCUAGAGUGCUUUCUGGAAAGAGUGACCCGUUUGAUACCUUUGCCAUGUGCUGGCACAAGUAACCAAAUAGCUGCACAAAGAUAAGAGUUCAAGGGUAUUCGCUGAGGUGUUGCUUAUAACGACAAUAGGAAAUAUCCUAAAUAUCCAUCCACAGGGGAUUGAUUAAAUUCGUUCAGAACAUGCUGCAAUGUAAUGCCAAGCUGUUCUUUAAAAGAUGAAUAAGAUCUAUAUGUAUUAAUCAGGAAGAGUGUUAAUGAUACAUAAAGUAAAAAUUAAAAAGUGUAUUGAACUGUGUGUAAAUUAUUAUGGUUUUUUUCAUGUAAAUUAAUGUAUGCAUAAAAAUUCUGUUGGGAUGUAUUCCAAACUGAACAGAGGCUCUUGUGGAGGAAGGGGUAUGUGAAGUGCCUUGAAGGGAACUUCACUUUCUCUUUUAAGCACAUCUGUAUUUUUUGCAUUUUGAAUUAUUUUU